UCCCGGUGGUUCUUCUGUCAACGAGCUUAUUCACAUUAUGAGCAAUGAACAUCUUUUUCUGGCAUUUCUGGCGUCUGCAAUUAUCCUGGAACGAGGCCUUUUGGCCUCUGCAAAGGAGGGUGCUGGGUGCAAGACCGGUGAAGAAAAAGCCGCUAAACCAGCCGGAAGACAAUCACCGGAAAGAGCAACUCAGCGCCCCGUGAAGGGUUGCGUAGUUCAGUCUUGGGGUCUCCAGCGUGAGGCACUGACGCAGUUUCGCAUCGAAGACAUACCUUUCAGAGUCUGCACGCAUAUAAUAUAUUCAUACCUGACGUUUAAAGUAGACAGUGGAGAAAUAACUUCUGAGACAGCUGACUACAAGGACAA